rnacentral:rRNA from 1 species
CCUACGGGUGGCAGCAGUGAGGAAUAUUGGUCAAUGGGCGCGAGCCUGAACCAGCCAAGUCGCGUGAGGGAAGACGGUCCUAUGGAUUGUAAACUUCUUUUGUCGGGGAGCAAAAGACGCCACGCGUGCCGUUCCGAGAGUACUCGAUGAAAAAGCAUCGGCUAACUCCGUGCCAGCAGCCGCGGUAAUACGGAGGAUGCGGGCGUUAUCCGGAUUUAUUGGGUUUAAAGGGAGCGCAGGUGGGAGGUUAAGUCAGUGGUAAAAGUUUGAGGCUUAACCGCUAGAUGGCAAUUGAAACUGGCUGUCUUGAGUAAAGGAGAGGUAUGCGGAAUGCGUGGUGUAGCGGUGAAAUGCAUAGAUAUCACGAAGAACUCCGAUUGCGAAGGCAGCAUAC